GUAGUCCACGCCCUAAACGAUGUCGACUAGUUGUCGGGCCUUUACAGGCUCGGUAACGCAGCUAACGCGUGAAGUCGACCGCCUGGGGAGUACGGUCGCAAGAUUAAAACUCAAAGGAAUUGACGGGGACCCGCACAAGCGGUGGAUGAUGUGGAUUAAUUCGAUGCAACGCGAAAAACCUUACCUACACUUGACAUGCUCGGAAUCUCGCAGAGAUGUGAGAGUGCCCGAAAGGGAGCCGAGACACAGGUGCUGCAUGGCUGUCGUCAGCUCGUGUCGUGAGAUGUUGGGUUAAGUCCCGCAACGAGCGCAACCCUUGUCACUAGUUGCUACGAAAGGGCACUCUAGUGAGACUGCCGGUGACAAACCGGA
rnacentral:rRNA from 1 species